rnacentral:rRNA from 1 species
UACGUAGGUGGCAAGCGUUGUCCGGAUUACUGGGCGUAAAGUGUGCGCAGGCGGCCGAGCAAGUCGAGUGUGGAAAGCCCCGAGCUUAACUUGGGAACUGCGCUCGAAACUACUUGGCUGGAGUGUGGCAGAGGAAGGUGGAAUUCCACGUGUAGCGGUGAAAUGCGUAGAGAUGUGGAGGAACACCGAUGGCGAAGGCAGCCUUCUGGGCCAACCACUGACGCUCAUGCACGAAAGCGUGGGAGCAAACAGG